rnacentral:hammerhead_ribozyme from 1 species
AUCCAGCUGACGCGUACCAAAAAUAGGACGAAACGCGCGUUAUGGAU